rnacentral:rRNA from 1 species
AUUGAACGCUGGCGGCAGGCUUAACACAUGCAAGUCGAGCGGGGAAGGUAGCUUGCUACCGGACCUAGCGGCGGACGGGUGAGUAAUGCUUAGGAAUCUGCCUAUUAGUGGGGGACAACAUCUCGAAAGGGAUGCUAAUACCGCAUACGUCCUACGGGAGAAAGCAGGGGAUCUUCGGACCUUGCGCUAAUAGAUGAGCCUAAGUCGGAUUAGCUAGUUGGUGGGGUAAAGGCCUACCAAGGCGACGAUCUGUAGCGGGUCUGAGAGGAUGAUCCGCCACACUGGGACUGAGACACGGCCCAGACUCCUACGGGAGGCAGCAGUGGGGAAUAUUGGACAAUGGGGGGAACCCUGAUCUAGCCAUGCCGCGUGUGUGAAGAAGGCCUUAUGGUUGUAAAGCACUUUAAGCGAGGAGGAGGCUACUUUAGUUAAUACCUAGAGAUAGUGGACGUUACUCGCAGAAUAAGCACCGGCUAACUCUGUGUCAGCCGCCGCAGUAA